rnacentral:rRNA from 1 species
GACGAACGCUGGCGGCGUGCUUAACACAUGCAAGUCGAACGGAAAGGCCUGCUUUCCCUUGUGGAUUGCGGGUACUCGAGUGGCGAACGGGUGAGUAACACGUGAGUGAUCUGCCCCCAACUUGGGUAUAAGCCUGGGAAACUGGGUCUAAUUCCCGAUAGGACUGCAGGGUGGUGCCUGUGGUGGAAAACGAUUUUCUAGUGGUUGGGGAUGAGCUCGCGGCCUACCAGCUUGUUGGUGGGGUAAUGGCCUACCAAGGCGGCGACGGGUAGCCGGCCUGAGAGGGUGGACGGCCACAUUGGGACUGAGAUACGGCCCAGACUCCUACGGGAGGCAGCAGUGGGGAAUAUUGCACAAUGGGCGGAAGCCUGAUGCAGCGACGCCGCGUGGGGGAUGACGGCCUUCGGGUUGUAAACUCCUUUCGACCGCGAGGAAGCCACCUGGUUGGAAGGGUGGUGACGGUAGUGGUAGAAGAAGCACCGGCUAACUACGUG